CCCUCAGAUAGUCCUCACUCUUCGGCUGCUCACCUGGCCGUCUGACAGAAUCACUACACAAUGAAGAUGGAGUUAAGAUGGUUGAGAAAUAAGUCUUCAGGUUGUGAACGAAUCUGCAUAAUAUGAUGGUGUCUUGAAAGUUCAGUGCCAUGCAUGAAGCAACGGCAGAAGCAAAUGAGGUGGUCCUACUGUGGUUCACGUUGACUGUUCAAUGAUGCGUCAUUGCAGCAGGUGGUCCUCUGUCCUGGGCUCACGGUUAACUUACUUGGAUGAGUUGCUGGAAUGAUUGGCCAGCAGGGGCACUAGCCACUGAAAUAGUUUCCCAUCAGCCAUUGCGACAUCUCCUAUAGUCCUUGCUCUUCUGCUGCUCAACUGGUGGUCCCCUGUCCAUGGCUCAAGUUUAACUUGCUUGGAUCCACGUUU